rnacentral:rRNA from 1 species
AACGAACGCUGGCGGCAUGCCUAACACAUGCAAGUCGAACGAGACCUUCGGGUCUAGUGGCGCACGGGUGCGUAACGCGUGGGAACCUGCCCUUAGGUUCGGAAUAACUCCCCGAAAGGGGUGCUAAUACCGGAUAAUGUCUUCGGACCAAAGAUUUAUCGCCUUUGGAUGGGCCCGCGUUGGAUUAGCUAGUUGGUAGGGUAAAAGCCUACCAAGGCGACGAUCCAUAGCUGGUCUGAGAGGAUGAUCAGCCACACUGGGACUGAGACACGGCCCAGACUCCUACGGGAGGCAGCAGUGGGGAAUAUUGGACAAUGGGCGAAAGCCUGAUCCAGCAAUGCCGCGUGAGUGAUGAAGGCCUUAGGGUUGUAAAGCUCUUUUACCCGGGAUGAUAAUGACAGGACCGGGAGAAUAAGCUCCGGCUAACUACGU